CUACGGGGCGCUCCAGUGAGGAAUAUUGCGCAAUGGGGGAAACCCUGACGCAGCAAUACCGCGUGAGUGAAGAAGGCCUUUGGGUCGUAAAGCUCUUUUCUUGGGGAAGAUAGUGACGGUACCCAAGGAAUAAGCACCGGCUAACUCCGUGCCAGCAGCCGCGGUAAUACGGAGGGUGCAAGCGUUGUUCGGAUUUACUGGGCGUAAAGGGCACGUAGGCGGCACAGCAAGUUAAGGGUGAAAUCCCGGGGCUCAACUCCGGAACUGCUCUUAAAACUGCUGAGCUAGAGAUAGUCAGAGGCGGGUGGAAUUCCAGGUGUAGAGGUGAAAUUCGUAGAUAUCUGGAGGAACACCGGUGGCGAAGGCGGCCCGCUGGGGCUAUUCUGACGCUAAGGUGCGAAAGCGUGGGGAGCAAACGGGAUUAGAUACCCUGGUAGUC
rnacentral:rRNA from 1 species